GCAGAUGAGAUCGACAUCUUGACUUUGUCACAAUGGCUCCACAGUUCACCUCAUUGUGUCGUAGGCAGAGCGGUUCAGCCACUUCACCGGACCAACCAUGUGUCACCAGUCCCGAUGCCAGGAGGCGAUGAGAGCAAAACCAAGUCCAUGGUGGAGAGAAACUGCAAAAGCGCUGCGUCAUCUCUAGUGAGAAGUGUGCGCUCGGAAACAAGGUCCUGACUGUGCAGAAGGCUGGAAUAGUUCAGCAGCAAAUCGGAUGACCCCUUUUGUUUCUGCGAAACGGCAACGUCUGUCUCAGAGGGCGGCCCGUUGCAUCGCCGCGUUCUCCGACAAAAGAUGCGAAAAAGUUCAUUAGAAGCUUUUGGGUGUGUGCCAUG